AGGGCAAACGCUAUAUAUGAGUAUAUAGAGGAAAGUCCAUGCUCACAGAGUCUGAAAUGACUCUAGUGUUCGUGCUAAGGGAGAAAGUAACCUUAGGUAGCAAAUUAGCUUUUGCUAACGGCGACGAAUUAAUCUAAGUCUUUGAUAUGAUUAUAGUAGUCAUAAAGUGUCAAAGUGACGAAUAAACUGGAAACAGUGGAAGUGGAACGCGAUAAACCCCGCGAGUGAGAAACUCAAAUAUUGGUAGAGGAGCUCUAACAAAGGAAUUUUAACAGAGUUAGGGACUAGGUAACUAGUAGAUAAAUGUUUGCCACCUAGUAAUAGGUACAGAACAUGGCUUAUU
rnacentral:RNase_P_RNA from 1 species